rnacentral:rRNA from 1 species
GAUGAACGCUAGCGGCAGGCUUAAUACAUGCAAGUCGAGGGGCAGCAUGACUGAAGCAAUCAAGUUGAUGGCGACCGGCAAACCGGUGCGGACCACGUACAGAUACUUCCUUGGAGCGGGGAAUAGCACAGAGAAAUUUGGCUUAAUACACCAUAGUACAAUGGAGUGGCAUCACUUUGUUGUUAAAGCUUUCUCACCUGAAUAUGGCUGUGCGGCUGAAUAGGUAGUUGGCGGGGUAACGGACCACCGAGUCUGCGAUGAGUAACUGGUGUGAGAACACGACCAGUCACACGGGCACUGAGACACGGGCCCGACUCCUACGGGAGGCAGCAGUAAGGAAUAUUGGUCAAUGGACGAAAGUCUGAACCAGCCAUGCCGCGUGGAGGAUGAAGGUCCUCUGGAUUGUAAACUUCUUUUAUAUGGGACGAAAAAAGGGUUUUCUAACUCGUCUGACGGUACCAUAUGAAUAAGCACCGGCUAACUCCGUGCCAGCCGCCGCAGUAACAC